CGCCAAGCAGAUAAACCGUGUGCCUAAAGGGGGGUGAAAGCGGCUUCACUUUGUGAGCAGCUCGGGAUGAAGAGAGACGCAGAGUCAGCCUGCUUUCUGAUGAACAGAUACACGAAAGGUUUGCCAGCCUCAACACCCCAUAAGGCCCCCGUUUACCCUUUGACUCCCAUCAAACCUGGACUACCUGAAACUUAAGACCUCAGAGCUGAUCCAGCUGUGAGGAUGAUCACACCAAAGAGAAGCCUUUCUACGUGGACCAGUAUACGAGAGCAAUUGCACAAUUCAAUUUCAAACUGGCUUAUCAAACACCUAACACACCUAGGGAGAG